CCUACGGGAGGCAGCAGUGGGGAAUCUUGCGCAAUGGGCGAAAGCCUGACGCAGCAACGCCGCGUGCGGGAAGAAGGCCUUCGGGUUGUAAACCGCUUUCAGCAGGAACGAAAAUGACGGUACCUGCAGAAGAAGGAGCGGCCAACUACGUGCCAGCAGCCGCGGUGACACGUAGGCUCCAAGCGUUGUCCGGAUUUAUUGGGCGUAAAGAGCUCGUAGGCGGUUCAGUAAGUCGGGUGUGAAAACUCUGGGCUCAACCCAGAGCCUGCAUUCGAAACUGCUGUGACUAGAGUUUGGUAGGGGUAGCGGGGAAUUCCUAGUGUAGCGGUGAAAUGCGCAGAUAUUAGGAGGAACACCGGUGGCGAAAGCGCCGCUCUGGGCCAAUACUGACGCUGAGGAGCGAAAGCGUGGGUAGCAAACAGGAUUAGAUACCCUGGUAGUCCACGCCGUAAACGAUGGGCACUAGGUGUGGGUUUCAACUAACGAAAUCCGUGCCGUCGCUAACGCAUUAAGUGCCCCGCCUGGGGAGUACGGUCGCAAGACUAAAACUCAAAGGAUUGACGG
rnacentral:rRNA from 1 species